AUACGGAGGACGCGAGCGUUAUCCGGAUUCAUUGGGUUUAAAGGGUGCGCAGGCGGCCGUGCAAGUCAGCGGUGAAAGCCCGGGGCUCAACCCCGGAAGUGCCGUUGAUACUGCAUGGCUGGAAUGCGGUCGAGGCGGGCGGAACGGGGCGUGUAGCGGGGAAAUGCGUGGAUAUGGCACAGAACGCCGAUAGCGGAGGCAGCUCGCCAGGCCUGCAUUGACGAUCGGGCACGAAAGCGUGGGGAUCGAACAGGAUUAGAUACCCUGGUAGUCCACGCCGUAAACGAUGGGCGCUCGUCGUCGGCGGCAGACAGUCGGCGGCCAAGCGAAAGCGAUAAGCGCCCCACCUGGGGAGUACGGUCGCAAGAAUGAAACUCAAAUGAAUUGACGGGG
rnacentral:rRNA from 1 species